CAAGGAGUGGACGAACAUGCACUUGUAUGAAAUGAUACUCUCAUCCAAUUGCGCGUUAUCAGGCAAAAAAACAAUAGCUGAUUCUAAAGGGCUACGGCAAAUUUCAAAAGUCUUCUGUGGAGGAUAUACUUGUCCUUUCUUGCCAAAAGGAGGCUAACGAGGAGGUUAGACUACGGCAAUGCUUUACUUUCCGGCUACCCAGAUAAAGCACUAAAUACACUUCAGUUAGUGCUAAAUACGGCUACUAGAAUCCUGACUACAACCAAAAAAUGUGAUCAUAUUACUUCAGUGCUAGCCUCCCUACACUGGCUUCCUGUUAAGGACCUGAGCCCUAGGACCAUGCCUCAGGACUACCUGGCAUGAUGACUCCUUGCUGUCCACAGUCCACCUGGCCGUGCUGCUACUCCAGUUUCAACUGUUCUGCCUGCGGCUAUGGAACCCUGACCUGUUCACCGGACGUGCUACCUGUCUCACACCUGCUGUUUUAAACUCUCUAGAGACAGCAGGAGCGGUAGAGAUGCUCCUAAUGAUCGGCUAUGAAAAUGUUAUAAUCUGUUAUAAUCUCCACCCGGCACAGCCAGAAGAGGACUGGCCACCCCUCAUAGCCUGGUUCCUCUCUAGGUUUCUUCCUAGGUUUUGGCCUUUCUAGGGAUUUUUUCCUAGCCACAUGCUUCUACACCUGCAUUGCUUGCUGCUUGGGGUUUUAGGCUGGGUUUCUGUACAGCACUUUGAGAUAUCAGCUGAUGUAAGAAGGGCUAUAUAAAUUGAUUUGAUUUGAACAGUUGAUGUUGAGAUGUGUCUGUUACUUGAACUCUAUGAAGCAUUUAUUUGGGCUGCAAUUUCUGAGGCUGGUAACUCUAAUGAACUUAUCCUCUACAGCAGAAGGUAACUCUGGGUCUUCCUUUCCUGUGGCGGUCCUCAUGAGAGCCAGUUUCAUCAUAGCACUUGGUGGUUUUUGCGGCUGUAUUUGAAGAAACGUUCAAAUUUCUUUAAAUUUUACAGAUUGACUGACCUUCAUAUCUUAAAGUAAUGAUGGACUGUCGUUUCUCUUUGGUUAUUGGAGUUGUUCUUGCCAUAAUAUGGACUUGGUCUUUUACCAAAUAGGGCUAUCUUCUCUAUACCACUCCUACCUUGUCACAACACAACUGAUUGGAUCAAACACAUUAAGAAGGAAAGACAUUCCACAAAUGAACUUUUAACAAGGCACACCUGUUAAUUGAAAUGCAUUCCAGGUGACUACCUCAUGAAGCUGGUUGAGGGAAUGCCAAGAGUGUGCAUAGCUGUCAUUAAGGCAAAGGGUGGCUACUUUGAAG
ensembl:lncRNA